CCAAUAAAACACCGAUGCUAAUUUUUGCAUGGAAACAUUUUCCCAAGAAGAAUCAUAUGUUUGACUUUUUCCUCUUAAUUCAUUUGUGUAAUUUACGUUGCAGGAUGCAGUACAUAUAAUUUAAUUUCCAGAUUAAUAUACGCUAACAAUAAGUGGACGUCAGUAUACAAAUACACAUUAAGAUGUAUUACGGCUAUUUAUUUGAAUAUAUGCGAGACAGAGAAUUUCUUUUUAAACAUCUCAAGCGAGCUACUUGAUUUUUCAUUCAAUUGGGAUGCUCUAACUUUAGUUCCAGGUAGUACAAUAAAACCCUCCCAGAAACGUUCCUCCCGAAUAAUAAUUAACUAGAAGCGCAAAACUCAAUUUACUGAUAUAUUUAUAGAGACACUUGCGGUAGUAUUCGAAGCGGCAAGUAUUCGUGUUUCAUUAAAAUUUCCCUGUACUGUGCAAUCGUGUUGCACCGUCUGUUACGCGACAUCUGCACCGACACCUGCGUACGUUUGUAUAAUGGCCUCCGGCUUAUAGUCACCUUUCUGGAACAUCUUGUAAAUAUACGAAAGGCCUAUCUUAUAGCCAUGUUUUUUCUCGGGGUGUCAGUGAUCGUAAUCGACCAGCCGAAAAUUCUGUUACCCGGGUCUCUCAACGAGGUACAUACUUCUAUAUAUGAAUAUAACAUUGUAGCAACAAUGGUUUACUUAUUUAGUAGAUAAAACAGAAAGUAAUGUUAAUUUUGUAAAAAGGUGUCGUAAUCGUAGAUUUAAAUGUAUUGCAAUAUAUUAAUUUGUGAAAACGUAAAAGGAAGCGAUUUUACUGUAUGUAGAACACUAUGUACACCGUAGUUAAACAUCAGGCUAACAAAAUUGAAUGAAGAAGGCGUGUGAGAUAGUACCGGGUUACGUGGACUGAUACGAAGACCUACUUUUCCGAACACGCGCGAUAAAAUAAGAAAAUUCGAAUAGUAGCUUGAGGACCAUGAGACGCCGACAUCUUGCUCGUGAUGUAAUGUUUGUCUGUAUACUCAGAUUUAAUAUUGCAGCAAAGCAUAUGGCGUUAUCUCCACGUAUGCUCGUUAUCGCCGAAAUUUUUUUGCCAGUAGAACGAGCUUUAUCGCAAGAAAUCUGUCAUGAAUGAGGUGGUAAUUUAUUCAACGACGACUGUCCCUUUCCGCUGACGAUGCGACGCUUUUAAAAGAUGUCAACGCGACUCUAUAAAUACCAAUGGAAUAUCAUCGUCGCGAAGGAAGCUCCGCAGACGACUUUAUUCGACUCUUUGAUUAAAUUUUUUUAUCAACUUCCUUUCGUAAUUAGUUAGUGUGAAAAAAAUGAACGGGAACGUUACGUCAGUUAAAUCUUAAAUCGUUAAACGAAACAGCAGGGCCUUCUAAAAGUCAUUUACAUGUCUGAGACGUCGGUGGUCCUCAUGUCCAUAAAUAAAAAGAAAAUCUGAAAAAAUAACAUCUAUCAUAUAAGUUUGUCUAUGUAACAUUAUCCUAAAACCACCUCCGCGACCCUAUUGUGUUACAUUUUGGAAAAAUUUUCCACAAAAAUAGGUACACGAAUCUGAUUGUAGAAACUGAGAAACUUCUCCCUCGUAUCUUGUCACGAACCAAGAACCCAGACAUUGGAAUGUGAACGGGACAAACUUUUUCUCGAGAAUUGAAAAAAGACGAAUUAUAAGACGAUGUUAGCGGUCAACAAAAGAAAACCUCAUCCAGCUCGAUGGUAGAUAACAGACGAAACACGUCGCAUGAAAUUCAAAGGAUCUAGGAAAGUAAAUAGCAACGCAUAUCAAAUUUUCUAUUAUCUCGUGAGCCCGAAGAGGACAAGCACAUAGUUAUUAAUAUGCUAGAACACGAGAUUCAGUUUGUCGGUAAAUCGAAGAUGGCACGUCGAAUUGCCCAAUAUGUUCUGUAUCCUCUACACUCUUACACGUGUUACGUUGCUUGCGUAGAAUGUAGUUGCGUAAGACUUGGUAAAUCGGAUGAAUCGCGGUUUUCAAAUUGAUGUUAAACCGCUAAAGAGACCGCUAUCAAAUGUACUUACGUGUAAACGAAUUGAACUGAUGAGAUUUUAAGUUUAUAAUAAUCUUGAUGCAAUGUUAUUUCAAAAAUAUCUGUGGUUCCACGGGCGAUCGAUGAUUUGAAAAUUAGAUAUAGAUUAGGUGCCGAUAUUAGGUAGAAAUACUCCGAACUUUUGAGACAGGAAACGACAUAUAGACGAAUAAGAUAAACGUAGAGACGCCAAUGCGUUUAUUCAUGGGGUUGACACUAUAAGCUUUCAAACAACGAAUACAUACUCAUCCCUUGCAUUCAUUACCAUUUCCAGACAACACAGUUAAAGACUGAAAAAAAAAACGCGCGCGUGUGUAUCAAGCUUGUAGUGGUAUGUAUAAGAAUUACGCAGCGCUACUAUCAAUUUGAUGGAGUUUACGAUUCGACCCGAGAUGAAUGAGUUGGAAUCGUGGAGUGUUCGAGGAAAAUCGUAACGCGUAAAAUCAUCGGAAGCUGGAUUUGUCUUUUUGCUAUGAAUCAUUGACUAUCCCUAACAUGCAUAGCGUUUCAGGUGUUUGAAAGACCCCACGUCCGAGACGUACUUAAAUGAACGAAAUUCGUUCGCGUUCGAUUUCCUAGCAACGUCCAGUAUAUAGUAAACUUGAGAAGCACAACCACAUGGUUGAUGAUGACGUUCCCUAUGCAUGCAGUUCGUAAACAUGGGAAGUGCGAGGGGAUCCACCCCCACAUCGAUACGCAACCAUAACGUAACGGUCAUCCUCACGAUAAAAAAUCCUAAGCAAAUUAAAGAGAUCGUACCAAGAGCAACGGAAUCAAAGCGAACCGAUUUAUUCGGUCGACCGUAUUCGAACAAAGGUCGAGUUAAACUUUCACCGAAAACCAUUUCCGCAACGUAACUGCCGUCCGGUUUUUUUUUUAGCUCCGAAUAGCGGCAAGAAAAACGAGCAACAAGUGUUGCGUCCUUCGAUUCUUUGCCAUCGAAAAUCAAAAGCAGCAAGUUACAUUCGCAGCUGCUCCUAUCAAGUGUUAGGUGUAUCCUUUCCAUAAAGAUAUAUUCGAAAAGGUGUAUUGUCUGCGUGGCUGAGAAAGCAUGGUUUCUUUACUUACUCAUCGAUUAGGUGCUGACCUCCCACGAGAGAAGCUUGGAGCGACGGGACCAAUGAAAAACAGAGUCCGAUUCCACGUGCCGGAAAUGGGUAUUAACAAAUCUGCCCACUCUCCUCCCUCUUUGUUCCUUAUAUCCCUACGAGAGACGGACGCACGAUUGAGUGCUAGCUUGCAUACUAACAAUAAGAAACACGAGCAACAAGCAGGAUGGACGGAGAAACACGCUCCGAUUGUCGCAGACAAGUCCCGACUAAAGUACUCCCGUGAGCGUAACCCAACGGUGGCUCGACGAAUCGUCGCGUCGAACAGUCAAGCGACCGUACCACUCCGAAACUCGAUGGUAAGUCGACGUCAACUGUACUGUGGACCGACCUCAAAAGUACUGACACAACCGGCGAACACACAUAUGACUGUGGCACAGACAGAGAAGUCGGUCGCUGUCGAGGCCAAGCCCUCAAGGAAACAUGCCCGUCUCUUCUUUUGGGGGGACUUCGAUGGAGCCUCGUUUUACAUCGACCGCCAUCGCCACCGACAGCUGCCACUAUAGCUCUUCCAACACGCUCCGCCAUCACGAUUGGCUUAUCCGUAUGCACACAAAGAAAGGGAGGCUAUGGCUAUAUGGUGCUCACGAGUGAGACACGACGCGUAGCAUCGCAUCGCACCCGUGCUGCACCGGCUACUAUAUAUGUAUAGGACGCCCAGAUGCAAGUCCGAAAGCCUGCGAAUGAACCACUGACAGGAUUCGUUGCUACCUUAGAGUUUAUAUGAACCCCACGAAACGAUGACAGGAAGACUGUAAAAAUUACCCGAUGUUCCUUGUUUGAGCUGGCCGUACUUCCCUCGCAGCGAGUCUCGGUAAAGGACCGCGGGAGGAGGAAAGAAAGAGAAAAUGACAAUAGAACGCGAUAAGAAAAAGUGAGAUCGCAGAGUGAACGAGAAAGUGGGUGGAUGAAAGAGAAACAGAGAGAGAGAGGGCUGAACCCUGAGAACUCACAAAAUCACAACCUCAGCGUCUAACACGAGACCCUACUCAAAACUACGUUUACCACGGUAUUCAGGAACAUAAGUGAUCAUUCCAUAUUCCUCUUACAAAUAAUAAAAUUUUCGACAAACAGCUUCCAGUGUCGCUUUCCAACGCACUCCAAAUAAUAGGAUAGAAAAA